rnacentral:rRNA from 1 species
GAUCCUGGCUCAGGAUGAACGCUAGCGACAGGCUAACACAUGCAAGUCGAGGGGCAGCAUAGAAGUAGCAAUACUUGGUGGCGACCGGCGCACGGGUGAGUAACGCGUAUGCAACCUACCUAUCAGAGGGGAAUAACCCGGCGAAAGUCGGACUAAUACCGCAUAAAACAGGGGCACCGCAUGGUGAUAUUUGUUAAAGAAAUUCGCUGAUAGAUGGGCAUGCGUUCCAUUAGGUAGUUGGUGAGGUAACGGCUCACCAAGCCGACGAUGGAUAGGGGAACUGAGAGGUUGGUCCCCCACACUGGUACUGAGACACGGACCAGACUCCUACGGGAGGCAGCAGUGAGGAAUAUUGGUCAAUGGGCGGGAGCCUGAACCAGCCAAGUCGCGUGAAAGGAAGAAGGAUCUAUGGUUCGUAAACUUCUUUUGCAGGGGAAUAAAGUGCAGGACGUGUCCUGUUUUGUAUGUACCCUGAGAAUAAGGAUCGGCUAACUCCGUGCCAGCCGCAGC